rnacentral:rRNA from 1 species
AGGGCACCACCAGGAGUGGAGCCUGCGGCUUAAUUUGACUCAACACGGGGAAACUCACCCGGCCCGGACACCGUAAGGAUUGACAGAUUGAUAGCUUUUUCAUGAUUCGGUGGAUGGUGGUGCAUGGCCGUCCUUAGUUCGUGGAGCGAUUUGUCUGGUUUAUUCCGAUAACGAGCGAGACUCUAGCCUACUAAAUAGUUCGCACAUCGUCUCUGUGUGUGUGACUUCUUAGAGGGAUUUUCGGUGUUCAGCCGCACGAAAUUGAGCAAUAACAGGUCUGUGAUGCCCUUAGAUGUCCGGGGCUGCACGCGCGCUACACUGGCAAAAUCAGCGUGCUUGUCCUUCCCCGAAAGGGGUUGGUAAACCCUUGAAAAUUUGCCGUGAUUGGGAUUGGAAAUUGCAAUUAUUUUCCAUGAACGAGGAAUUCCAAGUAAGUGCGAGUCAUCAGCUCGCGUUGAUUACGUCCCUGCCCUUUGUACACACCGCCCGUCGCUGCCCGGGACUGAGCCAUUUCGAGAA